UAUCUUCAGUUACAUCUUUUUUUUUAAAAUAAAAAAAGGUAGCAGUAAAGAAAAUGGAAAUACAUUUUGUAAAGGACUAUCUCACAAACCACCACUGCACAUUUCCUACAGAUCUAGAGGCUGGAAUGUAUGCGCUUUUUUCUUUUUUUUUGAAGCUUCAGCAGUAGUUAUAAGGUCAGAUCACAAUAACAUGUCUCUGUAUCACACCUGAUUGAGGUCAGUGGAACUGCGUUGCCUCAGUGUUCCCAGCACCUGACAGAUCUUGAAGAUCUCAUCCACCUCACUGUUGCCAGGGAACAGGGGUCUCAGUGUGUAGAGCUCCGCCAUGAUGCAUCCCACAGCCCAGAUGUCGAUGGGAACUGCACAUUGCCCUGAUGCUGUAAAUAACUGAGUCUCACCAUCUUGUGGACACAUAAUCUGUGUACGGCGGCUGCGAGCGGAUCUCUCUGGCUAGUCCAAAAUCAGCGAUCUUAACCAGCUCGGGGCCCAUGCACAGCA